AUGGUAUCUAUUCAGAAACAAUUCAUCCCACAAAAUAUAAGCCAACAACUCCCGAACACGCGCCUAUUCAUUAUCCCAGCCUACCUUCAGUAUGGAUGGAGUGUGUAUUGUUGGGACAUGAAGAGGAAGAUCAUCCACAUGUGCGAUCCACUGGCUGAUGCAUGUUCUUACACUGCCCAAAAAGCCAGCCAUGUAAUUAUUGCUGACAACCUUCACAAUGCCCUCUUCACCUGUUUGAACAAGUUUUUCAAAUCAUGGCAUGUUGAAUCAGCUAAUUGGAAGAAAAACUUCCAGUUUCUUUCCGCCACAUUGUUUGACCGCAAUGAGAGUGGCGACUGUAUGAUUCACAUGGCUCGUUACUUCAACGGCAUCGGUCUUGCUACAAAGCUAAACAAUGAAACACUUGUUCAUGAGAAGAAACUCAUGGUGGCCGAGUUACUGCAGUUAGAUGGCAACCUCGCCAGCCUCCGAGCAACGCUCAAAACAAUCUUGCAUGGAUAG
rnacentral:rRNA from 1 species